AUAACAACCAACAAAUUUUGACAGCUUUACUGUCUAGGGAUAUUUAACCCCUCCAUUUGCUCAACAUUUCCAGUUAGCAUUUCAAACUCAACAUUAUCCUCGGUGAUAGCCGAAAUGUUUUCAGCCAAAAGUUCCAUGGACUUCCUUAGAGAAACACGAUGAGAGCCAUGGUUUUUGAAACACACGUUACUACCAUGGAGGCUCUUAUUUUGCUUGCUAUUUUUCCCUCUAAUUCUCAUCCCCUUGCCCGAAUCAAAAUUUCCUAGUGGAGCCGAGGAACUACUUGUGGGCAAAUGUUCUUUAUUUUCUAAAAAUACUACUGCUGAAUACCUGCCGGAAUCCAAGCUUCCUACGUCCACCACAACCUCGCCUCUGUCCAACUCCUUUGAAGGUGAAUUAGAUCGGUGUAUUUCGGGCUCCUUUGCAGCUUGUAAAUCCUCUUCAACGAUGACCUGCUCAAAACUGAACUCCACCACUGCAAGGGUUCGACCACUGCUUCCAGCUCCAACAGUACCCCGCUGAACUUUUGUCUGGCCCUAACGGUCCACAAGUGUCCAGGCCUGUAUAGGCGAAACCACCUCAAGGCCCAAACCAUUGAUAACUGGGUAGUGCAGGGAACUUAAUCCAUGCCAUCACUACACUUGGGUACGCCUGUGUAGAAUCGAAAGCCAUCGUCCAUGGUUGAACAGUGAAAUAUUGGCCAAAGAUAGUCCACAGACCUUCAGAGAGUACCUUUUCAUAGUCCAGCUUAUUUUGGAAUUUGACUAAAAAAUAGCCAUUCUCAAUAUCCAUCAUAUGGAUAGUUGCUAUGGGUCUCCACAUGCUAUAAAUUUUGUUCUGCAAAAUCGAAAAAUCAAUGUUACGGCCUAAGAGUUUUAAGAUCACGGUGUUGUCCAUACCCUGAAGGAGGAUUUGAUGAAUCCGAUCUGAAAACAUAAUGGACGACAUCCCAUUCACCAUAGAUCUCUGAAUGUCCCCUUCCAAAAUAUCAAUAGCUUCCUUUUCUUCCGAACCAUUGAAGCCUUUCUUUGAGGAAUGGCCGACCAGCCUUUCUUUCCAAGAAGUAGGCAGAUCAGAGGACAACUCGAUCACCAUGUCAUUGCUCGUCUCUUCCUCUUUGUCUCUAAAUCUAACCUUCUUGGGAAUCAUCUCCUCUAAGAUGGAAUUUCCAUGAUCAGUAUUUUCACAGAGAGAA